GGUACAAACAGUAGGGCCAGUAGGAGUAGACAAUUUGAAAACAUCGUUAAAAUAAAGCUUAAACGAUUCCGCGAAACGGAAACAAAUAAACGGAAAUGAAAUUCGAUUAAAAUCCCAUUGUAGAAAAUCGUCGGUUCGUGAUGUAUGGUCACAGGUACAGACCACGCAGUACGAUCGAAAACGAAAACUGAGCAAAACUUGACCGUUCGCGAGCGGAUAUCGAAAUAUGACCAGUUUAUUCGCGAGCAACAAGUGUGUUAACAUAGUAUUUAUUUUACGACAAAGGUAGGCAGGUACCUAACAAUUUAUAUUCGAACCAUGGGUUUAAAUUUCCAUUGAAACGACGGGCGAGUCUUCGGCGAAACAACAAUGAUCGUUUUCCGAUAUUUCGCAGUCUACCUACCUACGCUCUCAUGUAGUAAUAGUAGUACGGUGAAAUUAAUAUUUGCUCAUACACGAGUAGUAU